UAAUACGUAGGGUGCGAGCGUUAAUCGGAAUUACUGGGCGUAAAGCGUGCGCAGGCGGUUUUGUAAGCCAGAUGUGAAAUCCCCGGGCUUAACCUGGGAACUGCAUUUGGGACUGCAAGGCUGGAGUACGGCAGAGGGAGGUGGAAUUCCACGUGUAGCAGUGAAAUGCGUAGAGAUGUGGAGGAACACCGAUGGCGAAGGCAGCCUCCUGGGCUAGUACUGACGCUCAUGCACGAAAGCGUGGGGAGCAAACAGGAUUAGAUACCCUGGUAGUCCACGCCCUAAACGAUGACAACUAGUUGUUGGGGAUUUAACAUCCUUAGUAACGCAGCUAACGCGUGAAGUUGUCCGCCUGGGGAGUACGGUCGCAAGAUUA
rnacentral:rRNA from 1 species